AUUAAAAAUUCUACAUAAAAAAUUAAAUUUAAUCAAGGAAGGUCUUACUAUACAAAUCCUUGAUUUGAUGCAACAUUUCCAUAUACAUCAUCCGCCAUUUUGAAAAAUCCCGAAAUAUUCACUUUUUUAAAUCAAUUUUUGACCGAAAUUGCCCAGAAAUUAAACUGUUUCAAAUAGUAUUUUUCGCCAGAUAUAUGUUUGAAUAUACUUAAUCGAUUUGCAAAGUUUUAUUUUUAUUAACGGAAUUUCUUUAUUUGUUGUACAAGUAGACAUGGGUAUCGGUAAUUUAGCAUUGAGUCAACGGAGAAAUGACGAGAAAAAGUAAUGUUUUUACGAUUCUCAUUUGACCGAAUUUAAUCAAAAAUUAAACUGUUAGGACCAACAAUGUUUGAUAGAAAUAUGCUUGAAUAUCAAGGAUUGAUUUGCAAAAGUUAGAAAACGGGUCAGGUUAAUGAGAAAAUUAAACUUUAUUGAAGCACCUAUGCAUUUUAUAUGGGGCAAUAUAAUACAAAAUGGCGGUUAGUAUACGUCACAAAAG
rnacentral:lncRNA from 1 species